CUUGAAUUAAAAGGAUAUGCCAGGUAUUAUGACCAGUACAACACAAUUUAGAGGUUCUGGUGCCAGGAGUCCCCUGGCGCCAUGCCACAGUUAGCAUUCAAACUAUUUAUGACCAGCAUAUCAACGCUUGACAUUAGUCAUUGACUGAUACUGUCUACACACACUGUCAACCAAAGAAUAAUGUCCAAAGGUACACAAAAUUGAUGUUGGUAAUUCAGUAGUAUGAAGUAAGGUUUUU